CAUUUACUAUUUAUCACGAUAAUUAUUAUUUGUCACUCGUCAUCUAUAAUAACCAUCCCUCAAACACCCCCGAAGAGACCAACCUGCAAAUUGAAGUCUAAUUGUUUAUGCGGAGAAAAAUGUGAUCCAUUUACAAGAUAGAUGAAGAAGCAAAAGGAUCAACUUUAAAGGGAAUUUUGUUUGGGAACAUGAAUUCUUAUAAGCACUUAAAAAAAAAAAGGAAAGAAAGAAAGAAAGAGCAUCAGAAUCAGAAAAAGAAGGAAGAAAACAGGAAGUGAAUGAUAUCAUCCGCCAUUGCCACCGCCCAAGUUAGGUAGAAAAGGUACUCUGUAAUGAAGGCAAUUCAAUUCCUUCUCUCAUUUUCCCCCCUUUGGCGUUGUUUCGUUGCGGUGGUAUAAUCCGGAAGCGCAAGGCAAGAAGUAGCUGUGUUUGGAGACACUGUUGCUCAAACAUGUGUCACAAUAAACUGCACCUACUACCGUGAUUCGAGUGACCGACGUUGGGGCUGCAGCUGUUAGGCCAAACAAGUUAGUGAAGAAAGAUGUUAAAAAAAGGAGAAGGAGAGAAAUGGUGGGAUCCGGAUCCAUAAGAAACACUCAAUGAAGAAGAGGAAGUUGUGAGAGAAGCAUCAAUGGGGGCUUGUAUUUAUACUCUUCUACAGGAGAACAAGUUAUAGAACCUUGAACUUUCUUGUCUAUCUGUGCAUUGAUUUGUGAUUUGAAGAAUAUAAGCUUGCAUCCUGGGCAGAGUUUAGGCCGUUUAAAGUCUAUAGUUAAUAUAUUAGAGUUGAAAAGUCUAUGGUUGGGAUGCAGAGUUGUAAAAUGAAGUUAUUCGAUAAAUGUGCAAAACAGAGAAAGAAGAGAGGAUGGAGUUUUUGGAUAAAUGUACAAACUUAAAUAGUAUUUACUAUUGAAGUUGAGUUUAAUCUGAACUUAUGAAGUUGGUGAGCCAAA